UACGUAGGGGGCAAGCGUUGUCCGGAUUCAUUGGGCGUAAAGAGCGCGCAGGCGGUCGUACAAGUCGCGUGUGAAAGCCCCUGGCUCAACUGGGGAGGGUCACGCGAUACUGUUCGACUCGAAGGCAGGAGAGGGAAGUGGAAUUCCCGGUGUAGUGGUGAAAUGCGUAGAUAUCGGGAGGAACACCAGUGGCGAAGGCGACUUCCUGGCCUGUUCUUGACGCUGAGGCGCGAAAGCUAGGGUAGCAAACGGG
rnacentral:rRNA from 1 species